GAGCGAACGCUGGCGGCAGGCUUAACACAUGCAAGUCGAACGGGCGUAGCAAUACGUCAGUGGCAGACGGGUGAGUAACACGUGGGAACGUACCUUUUGGUUCGGAACAACACAGGGAAACUUGUGCUAAUACCGAAUAAGCCCUUACGGGGAAAGAUUUAUCGCCGAAAGAUCGGCCCGCGUCUGAUUAGCUAGUUGGUGAGGUAAUGGCUCACCAAGGCGACGAUCAGUAGCUGGUCUGAGAGGAUGAUCAGCCACACUGGGACUGAGACACGGCCCAGACUCCUACGGGAGGCAGCAGUGGGGAAUAUUGGACAAUGGGCGAAAGCCUGAUCCAGCCAUGCCGCGUGAGUGAUGAAGGCCCUAGGGUUGUAAAGCUCUUUUGUGCGGAAGAUAAUGACGGUACCGCAAGAAUAAGCCCCGGCUAACUUCGUGCCAGCAGCCGCGGUAAUACGAAGGGGCUAGCGUUGCUCGGAAUCACUGGGCGUAAAGGGUGCGUAGGCGG
rnacentral:rRNA from 1 species